AACGAACGCUGGCGGCAGGCCUAACACAUGCAAGUCGAGCGGACCCUUCGGGGUUAGCGGCGGACGGGUGAGUAACGCGUGGGAAUAUGCCCUUCUCUACGGAAUAGUCCUGGGAAACUGGGGGUAAUACCGUAUACGCCCUUUGGGGGAAAGAUUUAUCGGGGAAGGAUUAGCCCGCGUUGGGUUAGGUAGUUGGUGGGGUAAUGGCCUACCAAGCCGACGAUCCAUAGCUGGUUUGAGAGGAUGAUCAGCCACACUGGGACUGAGACACGGCCCAGACUCCUACGGGAGGCAGCAGUGGGGAAUCUUAGACAAUGGGGGCAACCCUGAUCUAGCCAUGCCGCGUGAGUGAUGAAGGCCUUAGGGUUGUAAAGCUCUUUCAGCUGGGAAGAUAAUGACGGUACCAGCAGAAGAAGCCCCGGCUAACUCCGUG
rnacentral:rRNA from 1 species